AAGCCAUGAUACGGACAAAGCCUCAACAUGUCCUUGUAUCUUUCCCAAGCCUCAAAAAGAGACUCGUUGUCUUUUUGUCUAAACCCAUUAAUCUGGGCUCUUAGCAU